rnacentral:rRNA from 1 species
AUACGUAGGGGGCGAGCGUUAUCCGGAAUGAUUGGGCGUAAAGGGCGCGUAGGCGGCCCGGUAAGUCUGGAGUGAAAGUCCUGUUUUUAAGAUGGGAAUUGCUUUGGAUACUGUCGGGCUUGAGUGCAGGAGAGGGAAGUGGAAUUCCCAGUGUAGCGGUGAAAUGCGUAGAGAUUGGGAGGAACACCAGUGGCGAAGGCGACUUACUGGACUGUAACUGACGCUGAGGCGCGAAAGUGUGGGGAGCAAACAGGAUUAGAUACCCUGGUAGUCCACACUGUAAACGAUGAAUGCUAGGUGUAGGGGGUAUCGACCCCUUCUGUGCCGCAGUCAACACAAUAAGCAUUCCGCCUGGGGAGUACGGCCGCAAGGUUGAAACUCAAAGGAAUUGACGGGG